GCAAGUCGAACGAAGCAAUCAUUGAGUUUACUCGGAGAUUGACUUAGUGGCGGACGGGUGAGUAACGCGUGAACAACCUGCCUUACAGAGGGGGACAACAGUUAGAAAUGACUGCUAAUACCGCAUGAUAUCCUAGUGUCGCAUGGCAUCUGGAUCAAAGAUUUAUCGCUGUAAGAGGGGUUCGCGUAUCAUUAGUUAGUUGGUGGGGUAAUGGCCUACCAAGACCGCGAUGAUUAGCCGGCCUGAGAGGGUGAAC
rnacentral:rRNA from 1 species